rnacentral:ncRNA from 1 species
GACUUACACAAUUUGAGCUUUAGUAAAAAAACUUACUAAAUGUUAGCUUUCAGAUUCAGGGAAACUUAGGUUGAAAAAAAGAUAAGCGAUCCUGAGCCAAAUUUUAUUUUCAAAAUAAAAUAGGUGCAGAGACUCGAUGGAAGCUAUCCUAACGUAAAAAGUUUCAAGAUUUAUUUAAUUAAAUUUUAAUGGAAAUAAAAAAAAUUUAACUAAAUUUUUUUUUUAAUAACAAGCGAGGAUAAAGAUAGAGUCCAAUUUUACAUGUUAAUUUUAGCAACAAUUCAAAUUGUAGUAAAAAGAAAAUCCGUUGGCUUUAUUGACCGUGAGGGUUCAAGUCCCUCUACCCCCAAAACUAUGAAUUUUUUUUUAUUGACAUAAGCUUCCAAUUUAUGUUAGGAUUCCCAAACAAAGAGAAGCCGGAAUAGCUCAGUUGGUAGAGCAGAGGACUGAAAAUCCUCG